rnacentral:rRNA from 1 species
UACUCCUACGGGAGGCAGCAGUGGGGAAUUUUGGACAAUGGGCGAAAGCCUGAUCCAGCAAUGCCGCGUGUGUGAAGAAGGCCUUCGGGUUGUAAAGCACUUUUGUCCGGAAAGAAAUCCUUGGCUCUAAUACAGUCGGGGGAUGACGGUACCGGAAGAAUAAGCACCGGCUAACUACGUGCCAGCAGCCGCGGUAAUACGUAGGGUGCAAGCGUUAAUCGGAAUUACUGGGCGUAAAGCGUGCGCAGGCGGUUUGCUAAGACCGAUGUGAAAUCCCCGGGCUCAACCUGGGAACUGCAUUGGUGACUGGCAGGCUAGAGUAUGGCAGAGGGGAGUAGAA